rnacentral:rRNA from 2 species
GGUUAAGCGACUAAGCGUACACGGUGGAUGCCCUGGCAGUCAGAGGCGAUGAAGGGCGUGCUAAUCUGCGAUAAGCGCCGGUAAGGUGAUAUGAACCGUUAUAACCGGCGAUACCCGAAUGGGGAAACCCAGUGUGAUUCGUCACACUAUCAUUAACUGAAUCCAUAGGUUAAUGAGGCGAACCGGGGGAACUGAAACAUCUAAGUACCCCGAGGAAAAGAAAUCAACCGAGAUUCCCCCAGUAGCGGCGAGCGAACGGGGAGGAGCCCAGAGCCUGAAUCAGCAUGUGUGUUAGUGGAAGCGUCUGGAAAGGCGCGCGAUACAGGGUGACAGCCCCGUACACAAAAGCGCAUGUGCUGUGAGCUCGAUGAGUAGGGCGGGACACGUGGUAUCCUGUCUGAAUAUGGGGGGACCAUCCUCCAAGGCUAAAUACUCCUGACUGACCGAUAGUGAACCAGUACCGUGAGGGAAAGGCGAAAAGAACCCCGGCGAGGGGAGUGAAAAAGAACCUGAAACCGUGUACGUACAAGCAGUGGGAGCCCCACCACCAAAGCAUUCUCUGGUGUUGAAGGCCCUGCAAAGCAGCAUCGCGGUGGCGGAGCGUCGUUUGCGACGCCCAACACACAAAACAAGCGGUGAAUGCUUUGGGGUGGGGUGACUGCGUACCUUUUGUAUAAUGGGUCAGCGACUUAUAUUCUGUAGCAAGGUUAACCGAAUAGGGGAGCCGGAGGGAAACCGAGUCUUAAUUGGGCGUUAAGUUGCAGGGUAUAGACCCGAAACCCGGUGAUCUAGCCAUGGGCAGGUUGAAGGUUGGGUAACACUAACUGGAGGACCGAACCGACUAAUGUUGAAAAAUUAGCGGAUGACCUGUGGCUGGGGGUGAAAGGCCAAUCAAACCGGGAGAUAGCUGGUUCUCCCCGAAAGCUAUUUAGGUAGCGCCUCGUGAAUUCAUCUCCGGGGGUAGAGCACUGUUUCGGCUAGGGGGCCAUCCCGGCUUACCAACCCGAUGCAAACUGCGAAUACCGGAGAAUGUUAUCACGGGAGACACACGGCGGGUGCUAACGUCCGUCGUGAAGAGGGAAACAACCCAGACCGCCAGCUAAGGUCCCAAAGUCAUGGUUAAGUGGGAAACGAUGUGGGAAGGCCCAGACAGCCAGGAUGUUGGCUUAGAAGCAGCCAUCAUUUAAAGAAAGCGUAAUAGCUCACUGGUCGAGUCGGCCUGCGCGGAAGAUGUAACGGGGCUAAACCAUGCACCGAAGCUGCGGCAGCGACGCUGAUGCGUUGUUGGGUAGGGGAGCGUUCUGUAAGCCUGCGAAGGUGACCUGUGAGGGUUGCUGGAGGUAUCAGAAGUGCGAAUGCUGACAUAAGUAACGAUAAAGCGGGUGAAAAGCCCGCUCGCCGGAAGACCAAGGGUUCCUGUCCAACGUUAAUCGGGGCAGGGUGAGUCGACCCCUAAGGCGAGGCCGAAAGGCGUAGUCGAUGGGAAACGGGUUAAUAUUCCCGUACUUGGUGUUACUGCGAAGGGGGGACGGAGAAGGCUAUGUUGGCCGGGCGACGGUUGUCCCGGUUUAAGCGUGUAGGUGUGUGUUCCAGGUAAAUCCGGUUCACUUUAACACUGAGGCGUGAUGACGAGGCACUACGGUGCUGAAGCAACAAAUGCCCUGCUUCCAGGAAAAGCCUCUAAGCAUCAGGUAACAUCAAAUCGUACCCCAAACCGACACAGGUGGUCAGGUAGAGAAUACCAAGGCGCUUGAGAGAACUCGGGUGAAGGAACUAGGCAAAAUGGUGCCGUAACUUCGGGAGAAGGCACGCUGACACGUAGGUGAAGUGAUUUACUCACGGAGCUGAAGUCAGUCGAAGAUACCAGCUGGCUGCAACUGUUUAUUAAAAACACAGCACUGUGCAAACACGAAAGUGGACGUAUACGGUGUGACGCCUGCCCGGUGCCGGAAGGUUAAUUGAUGGGGUCAGCGCAAGCGAAGCUCCUGAUCGAAGCCCCGGUAAACGGCGGCCGUAACUAUAACGGUCCUAAGGUAGCGAAAUUCCUUGUCGGGUAAGUUCCGACCUGCACGAAUGGCGUAAUGAUGGCCAGGCUGUCUCCACCCGAGACUCAGUGAAAUUGAACUCGCUGUGAAGAUGCAGUGUACCCGCGGCAAGACGGAAAGACCCCGUGAACCUUUACUAUAGCUUGACACUGAACAUUGAGCCUUGAUGUGUAGGAUAGGUGGGAGGCUUUGAAGUGUGGACGCCAGUCUGCAUGGAGCCGACCUUGAAAUACCACCCUUUAAUGUUUGAUGUUCUAACGUGGACCCGUGAUCCGGGUUGCGGACAGUGUCUGGUGGGUAGUUUGACUGGGGCGGUCUCCUCCUAAAGAGUAACGGAGGAGCACGAAGGUUGGCUAAUCCUGGUCGGACAUCAGGAGGUUAGUGCAAUGGCAUAAGCCAGCUUGACUGCGAGCGUGACGGCGCGAGCAGGUGCGAAAGCAGGUCAUAGUGAUCCGGUGGUUCUGAAUGGAAGGGCCAUCGCUCAACGGAUAAAAGGUACUCCGGGGAUAACAGGCUGAUACCGCCCAAGAGUUCAUAUCGACGGCGGUGUUUGGCACCUCGAUGUCGGCUCAUCACAUCCUGGGGCUGAAGUAGGUCCCAAGGGUAUGGCUGUUCGCCAUUUAAAGUGGUACGCGAGCUGGGUUUAGAACGUCGUGAGACAGUUCGGUCCCUAUCUGCCGUGGGCGCUGGAGAACUGAGGGGGGCUGCUCCUAGUACGAGAGGACCGGAGUGGACGCAUCACUGGUGUUCGGGUUGUCAUGCCAAUGGCACUGCCCGGUAGCUAAAUGCGGAAGAGAUAAGUGCUGAAAGCAUCUAAGCACGAAACUUGCCCCGAGAUGAGUUCUCCCUGAGACUUUAGGUCUCCUGAAGGAACGUUGAAGACGACGACGUUGAUAGGCCGGGUGUGUAAGCGCAGCGAUGCGUUGAGCUAACCGGUACUAAUGAACCGUGAGGCUUAACCUU